GUCCACGCCCUAAACGAUGUCAACUGGUUGUUGGGUCUUAACUGACUCAGUAACGAAGCUAACGCGUGAAGUUGACCGCCUGGGGAGUACGGCCGCAAGGUUGAAACUCAAAGGAAUUGACGGGACCCGCACAAGCGGUGGAUGAUGUGGUUUAAUUCGAUGCAACGCGAAAACCUUACCCACCUUUGACAUGUACGGAAGGAUCCAGAGAUGGAUUUGUGCUCGAAAGAGAACCGUAACACAGGUGCUGCAUGGCUGUCGU
rnacentral:rRNA from 1 species